AAUUUGUGCCUCAUGUCUGCAGCCCUGCUCCAUUUCUUUCCUCCAGUGGCAUCAAGAGUUUCCUCAAAUUUUCCUGUGCUGGGAAAUCUCCAGGGUUGGCGCGCGAGUCUUUGACGCUGUUAACAAUUUCAAUCUGCACCAUUAAAGCUGCAUUUUCUCACCGUCCCCCGGUAAUUGUUGCAAGGACUUAGACAAACUACAGAAAAAGACCCAAAUCUGUUCCAAGUGACCAGGCUCAUUAGAACACUGAAGACAUGAACAGCAAUAUGAAGAAUUUACACUUGUUUAGAAGUCACACAAGAAAUAGAAUUUAUUCAGUUCUUCACUUCCCCAAGUACAGUUUUGUUGGCUUCAAGGGGUUGUUCCCAAAUUACAUUGGUGUCAGGCUGGAAUGAAAUCAACUCAGUUCAAGCACCCCAAACAUCAUUCUCACCUGCAAAACAUCACUGGCUUCCACCACUCUCAAAGGUAAGCAGCAGAUUUUUACCUUCCAUUGCUUCUGGUGCUUCUAUACCUGCAUUAACAAAGAAUAUUUCUGUCUCAAGCUGGUAUAUAUUAU
rnacentral:lncRNA from 1 species